AUGCCAAAAUGAAAAAAAAAGAAUGCAAAAUAGUUCAAUUUAAAUUUUAAUUAAUUCUUUAUUCGGAGUGCUCGAGUCUUAUUGAAAUCAACGAUCUAAAAAAUUCACGAGUCUCGCUUGAAAAUACAUCACACGCAAGACUUUUGAGAGUGGAAGCAUCUGAUCCACUUGCAGCGAAAGGAAAGUACAAUCCACUCUUAACAGUGAAACUUUUCGGUGUUUGAGAAUCUAAUUGAAGGAGCAAAUCUCGGUUUAGGCCAUUGAUUGGAUUGAUUACUUUUUGGUGGCUGCGCUUUAAUCUCAAACUUAGGGGCCAAGUUAAGGGUAGGAUUGUAAUUGAACAGUAAAAGGGAAUAAACAAUUAAACAUGCAUGUGCCUGCAGGGAGUGUUUUCAAACUGAUCAAUUUUUAUGACUCACUGUUGGGGUUUGACUUUAAUCUCGAGCCUUCCCUUCCUCGACACUCAAUUAAGCUUAAUUUUUAAUUUCCUUUUAGGCCUUCGGAGGAAUCUCACAUACCUUUGCUUGAUUUUUCAUCCAACAGCUGCUUGAUUGCGGAUCAGAGAGUUAGGAUAGUUAAAUAAACAUGAUAAAUCUUUUUUUCUUUUUUUAAUUUCUUAAGUUUUGCCAUUUUCCUUUCAAAAUCUCGUUUGUGUUGAUUUCAAGUUUUUUUUUUUAAUUGAGUUUCAUAAUUAGUAUUUUUCAAUCACUUUAUUUUUAGAAUAAUGAUAUAGCCACAAAUUAUUAUAUAAAUUUAUUUUAUACAAACUGAUAUAACAUUAAUUCAUUGGUUGAAUUAAAUAUCUCUUGGCCCACAUGAUUUAUUUUUAUUAUUUUAUAUUUUCAUUCAACUAAUAAAUUAAUACCACAUCAGUUUAUACAAGAUAAAUUUAUAUAAGAAUUUGUGGUUGUAUCAUCACUCUUAUUUUUAACCAAUAAGUAAACAAAAUAAGAGAAAGUCGAUUAUAUUUUUUUAGAGUAUUUGAUUUCUGACUUUUUAUUUUUAAGCAAACAUGGAUUUUUAACACGUUUUACAACGUUUAGUUUGGAUAGAUAAAACUAUAAAUGUCUUCCAAAACAAUGUUUGUAAUUUUUUUUGGAAAAAUAUUUUUCAUGAAAAAGUAUAAGCUACAUAUUUUUCUCAGGUGGCAUUUUCUUGUGUUUCUAUUUUCGAUGGCUGUUUUUAUAAAAAAAAUAAAAAUCAAAGUUGUUAACAAUUAAUGCUAAUUUGACAUCGCUCAAUUUGUAUUAAAUAACAAUUAAUGCUAAUUUGACAUCGCUCAAUUCGUAUUAAAUUACUCAUUUUCAAUUGAGAUUUGGAAUUCAUACAUAACGAAAUAUACUAAUUAAUAGACUUAAAAUUUAUGAAAUUGACUCAAUAGAUGAAUAUCUUCUCGCUGUUUGGAAUAAAAAUGUCAAGAGUAAAAUAUAAAAAAGUAUGUCAAGAGUACAAUAUAAAAAAGUUUAACAUUACGUAUAAAAUUCACUAUUUUCAAAUCAAUUUAAAAUAUUUAAGUGUGAAUAGGAUUUUGUUGGGUGACCUCUAGUACCGAAUUGAACGAUCCAUUUUGACAAAUACAUUGUUGCAUUGAUGAAUCUAAGGGACCACAUGUAAUAGAGUCUUCAUUAAUGCAUUUACUAAAUAUAAUUCAAGUAAAUACUAAAUAUUAUUAAUGAAAAACAAAGUAAUUUUAAAUCAAAUCAAAAGAAAAUUACCGAAAGCACCGUCGUUUGCGUUCAUUCCACCUUUUUUCCACUCAAUUACUUCUUUCAAAGUUGAUGGCUUCGAUGGCUUCCGCCGAACAAUUUAAGAAACCUUUGACUGAAGACCAUAAAGUUCAAAUGCAAUUGGCUGAGAUCACCAAAACCAGCUGUGCUGAAGACCACCUACUCUUUGCCUCUCAGGUCCUUCCCAUGCAGAGAAUAACUCGAGCCCUACUUUUCUACAUUCUUACAUGACACGCGUCUUUAUUCGCAAUUCCAAAUGCCCUGCCGCCGUGAAAAAAAAAAAACAUUACAUCCACCUUUUUCCCGUGAGCAUGAUAACAAGUGUAGAAACUGAUACAUACGAACAAGAACUCUCGCGUAGCAGCCCGACUUUAAUUGGAUCUACUACUGAUGGCCGUCAGCGUUCCCUUGUCCAUGACCAUGCCACGCUAGAUCAGUAUAAAAACAAAGCUUCGGCUUUCCCCACGCGUCAUGCCAGCUGCAACUGCCAUGGAGUCCGUGUUGCGAACAUGUCGGACUUCGUGGGUCCCUCCAUUUUCUCUACCCGUCCCGCACUUAAUUCUGUUUAUUAUUGUUUUUGGUGGGAACCAC
rnacentral:lncRNA from 1 species